AGAGUUUGAUCCUGGCUCAGGACGAACGCUGGCGGCGCGCCUAACACAUGCAAGUCGAACGAGCGAGAGAGAGCUUGCUUUCUCGAGCGAGUGGCGAACGGGUGAGUAACGCGUGAGGAACCUGCCUCAAAGAGGGGGACAACAGUUGGAAACGACUGCUAAUACCGCAUAAGCCCACGGCUCGGCAUCGAGCAGAGGGAAAAGGAGCAAUCCGCUUUGAGAUGGCCUCGCGUCCGAUUAGCUAGUUGGUGAGGUAACGGCCCACCAAGGCGACGAUCGGUAGCCGGACUGAGAGGUUGAACGGCCACAUUGGGACUGAGACACGGCCCAGACUCCUACGGGAGGCAGCAGUGGGGAAUAUUGCACAAUGGGGGAAACCCUGAUGCAGCGACGCCGCGUGGAGGAAGAAGGUCUUCGGAUUGUAAACUCCUGUUGUUGAGGAAGAUAAUGACGGUACUCAACAAGGAAGUGACGGCUAACUACGUGCCAGCAGCCGCGGUAAAACGUAGGUCACAAGCGUUGUCCGGAAUUACUGGGUGUAAAGGGAGCGCAGGCGGGAAGACAAGUUGGAAGUGAAAUCCAUGGGCUCAACCCAUGAACUGCUUUCAAAACUGUUUUUCUUGAGUAGUGCAGAGGUAGGCGGAAUUCCCGGUGUAGCGGUGGAAUGCGUAGAUAUCGGGAGGAACACCAGUGGCGAAGGCGGCCUACUGGGCACCAACUGACGCUGAGGCUCGAAAGUGUGGGUAGCAAACAGGAUUAGAUACCCUGGUAGUCCACACCGUAAACGAUGAUUACUAGGUGUUGGAGGAUUGACCCCUUCAGUGCCGCAGUUAACACAAUAAGUAAUCCACCUGGGGAGUACGACCGCAAGGUUGAAACUCAAAGGAAUUGACGGGGGCCCGCACAAGCAGUGGAGUAUGUGGUUUAAUUCGACGCAACGCGAAGAACCUUACCAAGUCUUGACAUCCCUUGACGAUGCUGGAAACAGUAUUUCUCUUCGGAGCAAGGAGACAGGUGGUGCAUGGUUGUCGUCAGCUCGUGUCGUGAGAUGUUGGGUUAAG
rnacentral:rRNA from 1 species